rnacentral:rRNA from 1 species
UGAGUAACCUGCCCUUAACUCUGGGAUAAGCCUGGGAAACUGGGUCUAAUACCGGAUAUGACUCCUCAUCGCAUGGUGGGGGGUGGAAAGCUUUAUUGUGGUUUUGGAUGGACUCGCGGCCUAUCAGCUAGUUGGUGAGGUAACGGCUCACCAAGGCGACGACGGGUAGCUGGUCUGAGAGGAUGGCCAGCCACAUUGGGACUGAGUCACGGCCCAGACUCCUACGGGAGGNAG